AAAAAACUGUUUACCUUGAUGAUAUUAAACCAUAGAAAACGGUGUGGCUUAUCCAAGCGCCAAAGUGGUGCAUACCUGGAAACCAUCCAAUCUCAGGUUUGGUGAGACUUAAGAAAUAAUAUUUGUAGACAAAAAGGGAUAAAGAUUCAAGCUACAUGUAGGAAGAACUAUUUGAAGUCUUUGGGUGAUGAAUGCAAUGUUGGCUAAUGGAAGACUCUAUUUAUUUUAUGGCAUAGAUUAAUUUAUUUUAUUAAUAUAUAAAUAUUAAAUUAACUUUUUUGAUUUAUAUCAACUAUUUAACUAUUAUACAAAGUAACUGUUAAAUAAUAAAAUCUUGGGAUAAUUAAGAUAAGAAAUACUUUUUAUCUAGAAAAUAAGAAUAUUUUUUUAAAAAAAAUUAUUAUAUUUUACAUAUUUAAAAUAAUUAUAUAUUGUUUAAGUUUCUACAAUUUUAACAAACGUUAAUUGUAUAGAUUGUAUACCAUUUGAGUAGUUGUGACCAUAUUUGUUUGUACGGCUUAAACUUUCAAUAAAAAAGGCAUUGUAACAUGUUUCCAGCUCAUCGGAAUAACCAAGAAAGUCAUCAGAUCCAACAUGCAAAAGAGAUUAAAAAAGGUUAGAUCUGAUUUAUGUUUGUUCUUCGUAAAACACUUUCAAAGGGGACAAGAUAUAUAUGACAGAUUAAUAAGAGAAACUAAUGUAACUGAGGAUUUACCAUUAAAGAUCGGAUGAUCAGGAUCCUGUUGGAGAUCGCCAUCUUCUUCUCUUUGGGAAGAAGGAACGGACAGAUCGGCUUCAAUUUCAACGGAUCCAUUCCUUUUAAGCCAUCGGACAUGACUCGCAAAAGAAAUUA